CCUGAAGAAAGUGGAAGUGCGCUCGCCGCCCGCCGCUCCUCCCGGAGACCAGUUCUGGCCAUGCCGUGACCCCGCUCCUCCGCUGCCAUGAACAGGGCGCCUCUGAAGCGCUCCCGGAUCCUGCACAUGGCGCUGAUGGGGACCGACGCCGCCGCCGGGGCAGAGGCCAGCCCGGGGAAGCCCUUCCUGCUCCGGGCCCUGCAGAUCGCACUGGUGGUCUUUCUGUACUGGGUCACCUCCAUCUCCAUGGUGUUUCUCAACAAGUACCUGCUGGACAGCCCCUCCCUGCAGCUGAACACCCCCAUCUUCGUCACCUUCUACCAGUGCCUGGUGACCACCCUGCUGUGCAAGGGCCUCAGCGCCCUGGCCGCCUGCUGCCCGGGGGCCGUGGAGUUCCCCAGCCUGCGCCUGGACCUCAGGGUGGCCCGCAGCGUCCUGCCCCUGUCCGUGGUCUUCAUCUGCAUGAUCACCUUCAACAACCUCUGCCUGAAGUACGUGGGUGUGGCCUUCUACAACGUGGGCCGCUCCCUCACCACCGUCUUCAACGUGCUGCUCUCCUACCUGCUGCUCAAGCAGACCACCUCCUUCUAUGCCUUGCUCGCCUGCGGCAUCAUCAUCGGUGAGUGGCAAGCCCGGGCCGUGGGACACAGAGGCGAUAUGGGGGCCCAAACCCGAAGGAACAACCCUGCCAAACAUCUGUGGACUUUAUCCGUCCCAGCUCCCUUGAUGGUAAUAUGAGGAUGAGCUUGGGAGAACCAAUAACUUGCUUGAGGUCACCCAGCAAGUUGGGGGCCCAGGUAGGGCUCCUCAUGCAGGUGAAAUUAUAAUUUAUAUUUCACAGGGGAAAACCCAGGCACAGAGAGGUGAAGUAACUUGCCCAAGAUCGCACAGCUAGUAAGUGGCAGAGCUGGGAUCUGAUCUCAAGUAACCAGGCUCCAUACACUUGACCUCUAAACUCUGUUGCUA